CAGGACUGAAGCAGAGGGUGCUAUUUCUACGCCACCACCAGGAAAGAGGCAGAGGGGCUGGGCCAUGCUGGCGUCCUCUGGGAGGGAGCAACCUUGACCCUGGCUGUGCUGCAAGCUGAUUCCAGCCCUGGAGUCAGCAGCACCUGAAGAACAGUAGCAGGAGGUGGCGUGAGAGCAGUGGCUCAUGGGCAGAGUUGCCCAUGGGAAACUGCGGCUGCCACCCCCUCCCAAGGGCAGCCCAGAGUAGUGGAGGCUCAGCAUAAAAUAAAAAAGGGGAGUGAGAGACACAAGGAGGUGAAAGGUGGGUGGCCUCAGCCCCACAAACUAAGCAGAGACCCUCUCUUCAACCUAGACUCCGCAGGGGCACCUCAGGCUGGUAGACCAGGUCCUCUACCAGGGCCCAGGAUGCAGGCCUGCCCUAACGGUCAUGCAGAGGAUACAGGGCCACACAUGCCAGUGCCCUGCUUAGACAUCAGCCUCCAGGUUGACUCGGGGUCAGGCCAGGUUUGAUCCUGUGCUUGACUGGGCCAGGACCCAUGGCUAGAGCACCUGGGGAUCCUCAUUCAGCCCUGGUCUGCUGGAAGGGGGACAGCAGACUUUAGAACCCCACAGCACAGCAGUGAUGAGCAUUUUACUCUCUUGGCCUCCUUGAGGAAUAGGACAAGGAGUCCUCUGGGGACAGACAAGGACUUACACAAUGGCCUCAGUUGUGGCCCCUGCUUUCUGAGCUUGGUUAAAACACUGACCAUGGCAGAAAGGACACAGUGUGGGUUCUCACACCUCACUUUCCACAGCCCCUAAUGGCCGCAGUGCACAUGGAGGAGAUGCCUCUUAUGACGCCAUGGCCUCCAGUUCUCACCGAUGCCCUCAUCGAAGUUGGGUAGAACUUCAGUGAAGAGGGGCUCAUGCAGCUCAUGGAAGCAGAGCUUCAGUGUGUCUGUGAUGGCGUGUAUGUUCAUCUCACUCAUCAUCUUCGACACGUCCCUGUCAUCCAGAAAGAACAUGGAAGUGCUGCAGCCUCCUUGAGGAUCCCAAAGAUGGGGUUUGCUGCAUUGUCCAGACUGGUCUCAAACACCUGGGUUCAGUUAUCCUGCCACAGUCUCUCAAAGUGCUGGGACUACAGGUGUGAGCCUCCACACCCAAACACUUGGGGUGGUUUUAAGCCCCCAGUAAGGUGCACCAGCAGGACCAAGAGGUGGCCUGGGCCUCCCCGACACUCUCAUCCAUGCAGACCUAAUUUGUUUAUUAUUAUCUGAAAUUCAAAUUUAUUUAUACAUCGUGUGUUGAUCUGGCAACCCUAUACUAUCUGUAACCUUGUAAUAGGCCCUCUCAGAGCACACAGAUAGGAGAUAUGUGUAUUAACCCAUGUAUAUACACAUAUCUAUUAAAUUUUUAUAUAUGUGUGGUUAAAUAUGAGUUUAUACUUAUUUCUCUAACUCAAAUCCAGUAUCACAGGGUUCCUUCUAGCCUUCUCCCUUUGCUUAUCUAUAACUUCUCUCGCCAGCAGUGAAAAACCUGACCCCCACUAUUCGCUCUUCAUUUACUUAUUUGCCCCUUCUUACUCAUGGUGCAUGUAAAGCUAUUUCAGAAUUGGUCACAGCCUCCCCACCCCCAUCCCCGCCCCUAGCCCGAUGAGAAAAAAAAUUCUUCAGACAAAUUACUUGGACCUCACUUUACAUGUUAUAAAAUAUAUAGUUUUAAUUUAAAUGGGUAUUAGUGGAAAUUAAUAAAUUUGAUGUGAAUAUUUUGCAACCUAGAAAAUAAGCAUCUUAAAAAUAUACUAGUAACAACACAAAGUAAAAUAUUUAUAUAUAUUCUUAGCUUUUCCUAAAAAUCUUCUAUAUUUAUAAAAUUAUAACUGCAACUUCCUCAUGUAUAGCAGAUUACUGGCAAGGAGAAUGUAGUAAUAAUGACUCAUUGAUGUUUGCAAGGAAAAAAAAAUUGCAUCCUUAAUUCUUCCUCUUGCUCCUUCACUUGUCUUUAAAAACUAUAUUUAUUCAUUUAGUUAUAAUUUGUUAUUAGAUUUUUGUGAAAUUUAAUGACAAUGUCUAAUUAUUUAUAUUUAA